CAGAGGGUAGUUUAAUAAAAAAAUUUUAAUUUUGGGGAUUAAUGAUAAGAAUUUUCUUCCCUCUGA
rnacentral:tRNA from 1 species